ensembl:lncRNA novel transcript, sense intronic to LIPC
GACACGUACAGCUUAGAGCCUAGUCAUGAAAUGGGAAAUAAACAGCCCCAUCCUCAAGGUCUGAACAGGGGAUUGGGGAGCACAGAGAAGGGCCCCACCCCGACCAGCUGUCAAGAGAACUAUCCAUACAUUCUAAUUCCUCCAAGGUUGAGGGCUAAGGUGUAGGAAGAGGAGAGAGGUUCCAAGCAGAAGGAAUUGCAGAAGCAAAGGCACAGAGGCAUCCGGGACCUGCGAGCAGCUAUGGCUGGAGCCGCGUGUCGCAGGAUGGAGAGCGUGUGAACAGAGGGGACUGGAAGCGGAUCCUCCCAGGAAGCAGUUGCAGGCGGUCAUGCUACAUUUGCAGGGAGACGGGAGGUUGUGAAGAACAAUAACCAGAAGAGAGUUUGCGUCUUCAUCAGAAAGCACCUGGGGCAGGUAGAGUUGGUGCUAGCUUCUCCAUCCAUCCCUGACACCCCAGCCCCAUUCAUCAUUCAGCAGAAGACAGGCUGGGCUGGCCCAACUUGGUCCUGUACCCCCACCACCCCAGAACCCCACUGGUCCAUAGUGAGGAUCCCUUCUCUUUGACUCUCCUCCUUCUCUGUGACUCGCCUAAGCCUGAUCCUACACCUUCUCUCCCAGCCACUGCCUCAGCUUCCUCCACCCCCAGCUUGGGACGAGCCACCUCCCUGGCUGGGUAGCAUGGGACAAGCCAUCUCCCUGCAGAGGCAGAGAACCAGUGACACUACACGCAAACCAAGGCCAUGCUGCAAACAGAACACCAAGGCACCCUCGUCUUAGGAUGCAUUAUAUUCGGGGUAGAUGUUGAAUUCUAGUAACACAUUCCCUGGGGUGUUUUCAAAUCCAGACACACUGGAGCCUUGUUCCAGCCUCACUGUGGGCGAAGGCCCCGGGCUCACCUCCAGCCUCAGGCUGGCUCUGGCUGCUGCCCCUGUUCCAUCCUGGCAAGCGGAACUGAACAGGCCCGACUCCACAGCCCCCGGUGCUGCCAGCUGCAAGCUCUGCUGACUCCAACCUCAGGCCCCUGCGUGCCUGCUUCUAAAUCCACACGUUCCUGCUCCUUCCUGCCCCUGCUGCCCUCUCAGAAUGCCACUUCUUUCUGCCAAGACCUCAGGCAUUGCUAUGGCCCAGCCCCAUCUUUAUUGAUGUCGGGGCUCUGUCCCCUUGCAGAGCCCAUCCCAUUGCCACCCACAUCUGGGACAGCAAAAGACUUCUCAGUUUCCUCCAGAGUUCAGUUUCUUCCAAAAAGCUCGGCACAUCUUAGCUGCCAGUGUGAACUGUGAGCUCCCAGAGAUGCCCGUGGCACUUUCCAACAUUCGUCACUUUUGACACAUCUAAAAUAUCCUAGCUCCCAGAGCUGCGUGAGCACCAGCCCAGAUGGACCGGCUGCUGGGGAAGCAUCAGUCUCUCCAGGGCCUCUGUGAAGCCCUGGGGCAGUAGGGGGAUGUCUGACAAAGCUUCCUAACUGAGGAGCCCCACUUCCUCUCGCUCUGGGCACCCCUGCCAAAUGAGCGGGCACCUCUAUGUUCCAGCAGCCCUCGCUGCCCAGCUUCUGAGCUGCAAGCCAGCUUCCUUCCACAGAAUUCUCUGCACCUUGGCUUCCGGUGGCUCCAAGCACUUUGCCAUCUGCCGAGUCAGUUCUGCCAGAGAUGAAGCAGCUGAUGUGGGGAGUUCUCUGUGGGGGCCACCUUUCCUCUCUCAGGUCACCUUUACUCUCAGAAGGAAACUGACCCCCUGACCUAUUAAAUAGCUGAAAUCAA